UCCACUAUCCCAGGCUGCUCCAAGCCCCAUCCAGCCUGGCCUUGGACACUUUCAGGGAUGGAGCAGCCACAACCUCUCUGUUCCAUCUCUUCCACUGUUGAAUUGUCAUCACAGUCAGGGAGUUUCCUAAUCCACAACUGAACUUGUGUUACUGCAAUUUAAGCCUUUUCAUUCAUUUUUCCAGGUUUUUCAAGCCUAGAGAACAAUUUAUUUCCUUCCUUUCAUGCAGUUUUCUUCACCCAUGAGAGCUGUGACCACAGUUCCUGUCCAUCAUCUCUGCACUAAAUAAUCCCUGUCUUUCAAAUUUUCUCUGUAGGCCACGUGCUCUGGAAGACUCAUCAUUCCUCUGGGAUUUCCUCCAACUUGUCCACACCUCCCUUGAGCUGCUGGUAUUUAAAUGAAGCCUCACCAAUGUGAAAUGUCCUGGACAGAUUCCUGUCUUCCAUGCAAUUCUCCUGCUCGGUGUCUCCAUGUCCUCUCCGCUUUCCCUGCAGCUGGAUGAUAUUGUUGCCUCCUUCUGGGCUUGUAAAUGAAAUAACAGCUUCCACUUCAAUUCUGUUUGUGGUGUUUCACGUGCACAAGCAAAACAAGCUGGCAUUUACCACUGCUCUCCCUAAUGUCCUGUCUCAUUUUCAUACUCAAGUAGCCUUUCCUGAAGGGAGGGAUCUAAAUGCUGCCCAUCAGCGAGGAAGAGUGGUUGGGAGCUGAGCAGAUCCCUGAGAGGUUGUCCUGAAUUUCUGAAUCUCAAAUGUCUCAGAAGGCUCAUUAUUAAUAUCCAAAAAUAGCCAGAUGGCACAAACCAGUAAAGGCCAAAUAAUUCCUCAUUCCACAGCUUUGGGCUGGACUGGCCUGCAGGUGAAGCCAGGACGGAUGAAAAUGGUUUCAUGCUGUUACAGAUCAGCCCAUUCCUCCUAAGGAUCCUGGUCCCAAAGGAUCCUCAUUCCGGGAGCAAAGCCAGUGGCUGCCUCCCUGAGACUGUUCCCAACACAGCAGCCGGACAGAGCCAGGCUGGAGCUGCAUCCACGGGGUCACUGCAC